rnacentral:rRNA from 1 species
UAGUAUGGGGAUCUGCCCGAUAGAGGGGGAUAACUACUGGAAACGGUGGCUAAUACCGCAUAAUGUCUACGGACCAAAGCAGGGGCUCUUCGGACCUUGCACUAUCGGAUGAACCCAUAUGGGAUUAGCUAGUAGGUGGGGCAAAGGCUCACCUAGGCGACGAUCUCUAGCUGGUCUGAGAGGAUGAUCAGCCACACUGGGACUGAGACACGGCCCAG